rnacentral:rRNA from 1 species
GAGUUUGAUCCUGGCUCAGAUUGAACGCUGGCGGCAGGCCUAACACAUGCAAGUCGAGCGGUAACAGAUCCAGCUUGCUGGAUGCUGACGAGCGGCGGACGGGUGAGUAAUGCAUAGGAAUCUGCCCGAUAGUGGGGGAUAACCUGGGGAAACCCAGGCUAAUACCGCAUACGUCCUACGGGAGAAAGGGGGCUCCGGCUCCCGCUAUGGGAUGAGCCUAUGUCGGAUUAGCUAGUUGGUGAGGUAACGGCUCACCAAGGCCGCGAUCCGUAGCUGGUCUGAGAGGAUGAUCAGCCACAUCGGGACUGAGACACGGCCCGAACUCCUACGGGAGGCAGCAGUGGGGAAUAUUGGACAAUGGGGGCAACCCUGAUCCAGCCAUGCCGCGUGUGUGAAGAAGGCCCUCGGGUUGUAAAGCACUUUCAGCGAGGAAGAACGCCUAGCGGUUAAUACCCGCUAGGAAAGACAUCACUCGCAGAAGAAGCACCGGCUAACUCCGUGCCAGCAGCCGCGGUAAUACGGAGGGUGCAAGCGUUAAUCGGAAUUACUGGGCGUAAAGCGCGCGUAGGUGGCUUGAUAAGCCGGUUGUGAAAGCCCCGGGCUCAACCUGGGAACGGCAUCCGGAACUGUCAAGCUAGAGUGCAGGAGAGGAAGGUAGAAUUCCCGGUGUAGCGGUGAAAUGCGUAGAGAUCGGGAGGAAUACCAGUGGCGAAGGCGGCCUUCUGGACUGACACUGACACUGGGGUGCGAAAGCGUGGGUAGCAAACAGGAUUAGAUACCCUGGUAGUCCACGCCGUAAACGAUGUCGACCAGCCGUUGGGUGCCUAGCGCACUUUGUGGCGAAGUUAACGCGAUAAGUCGACCGCCUGGGGAGUACGGCCGCAAGGUUAAAACUCAAAUGAAUUGACGGGGGCCCGCACAAGCGGUGGAGCAUGUGGUUUAAUUCGAUGCAACGCGAAGAACCUUACCUACUCUUGACAUCCUGCGAAUUUGGUAGAGAUACCUUAGUGCCUUCGGGAACGCAGAGACAGGUGCUGCAUGGCUGUCGUCAGCUCGUGUUGUGA